rnacentral:lncRNA from 1 species
AUUACCAGUGUCAGACGCUGCGCCACGCGACUGCAUUGCCAGCCACGAGGAAGUCUGACAAGAGGACUGACUGACCAGGAGCAACAUUAGAUAUGAUGCAGAAAGUGGCAUCUGUCUUUACUACUCACAUCCAUACGGCAAUGAACAAAGGUGAACAGGUGAUCAAAUGUUCCCCUACCCUUUUUUUAAAUUUAUUUUUAUUACUUUUAGUUGUAUGUAUGUGUCUGUUUGGAGGUAUGCACACCUGCAUGUGGGUUCUUGAGGAGGCUACCAAUGUCUAACCCUCUGACAAGAGAUGAA